GACGAACGCUGGCGGCGUGCUUAACACAUGCCAGUCGAACGGAAAGGCCCUGCUUUUGUGGGGUGCUCGAGUGGCGAACGGGUGAGUAACACGUGAGUAACCUGCCCUUGACUUUGGGAUAACUUCAGGAAACUGGGGCUAAUACCGGAUAGGAGCUCCUGCUGCAUGGUGGGGGUUGGAAAGUUUCGGCGGUUGGGGAUGGACUCGCGGCUUAUCAGCUUGUUGGUGGGGUAGUGGCUUACCAAGGCUUUGACGGGUAGCCGGCCUGAGAGGGUGACCGGCCACAUUGGGACUGAGAUACGGCCCAGACUCCUACGGGAGGCAGCAGUGGGGAAUAUUGCACAAUGGGCGGAAGCCUGAUGCAGCAACGCCGCGUGCCGGAUGACGGCCUUCGGGUUGUAAACCGCUUUCGCCUGUGACGAAGCGUGAGUGACGGUAAUGGGUAAAGAAGCACCGGCUAACUACGUG
rnacentral:rRNA from 1 species